GAUGAAGAACGCAGCGAAAUGCGAUAACUAAUGUGAAUUGCAGAAUUCAGUGAAUCAUCGAAUCUUUGAACGCACAUUGCGCCCGCCAGUAUUCUGGCGGGCAUGCCUGUCUGAGCGUCAUUUCAACCCUCAUGCCCCUAGGGCGUGGUGUUGGGGAUCGGCCAAAGCCCGCGAGGGACGGCCGGCCCCUAAAUCUAGUGGCGGACCCGUCGUGGCCUCCUCUGCGAAGUAGUGAUAUUCCGCAUCGGAGAGCGAUGAGCCCCUGCCGUUAAACCCCCAACUUUCCAAGGUUGACCUCAGAUCAGGUAGGAAUACCCGCUGAACUUAAGCAUAUCAAUAAGCGGAGGA
rnacentral:misc_RNA from 1 species